rnacentral:rRNA from 1 species
CCUUACCCACCUUUGACAUGUACGGAAGUUGCCAGAGAUGGCUUCGUGCUCGAAAGAGAGCCGUAACACAGGCGCUGCAUGGCUGUCGUCAGCUCGUGUCGUGAGAUGUUGGGUUAAGUCCCGCAACGAGCGCAACCCUUGUCAUUAGUUGCUACGAAAGGGCACUCUAAUGAGACUGCCGGUGACAAACCGGAGGAAGGUGGGGAUGACGUCAAGUCCUCAUGGCCCUUAUAGGUGGGGCUACACACGUCAUACAAUGGCUGGUACAAAGGGUUGCCAACCCGCGAGGGGGAGCCAAUCCCAUAAAGCCAGUCGUAGUCCGGAUCGCAGUCUGCAACUCGACUGCGUGAAGUCGGAAUCGCUAGUAAUCGUGGAUCAGCAUGUCACGGUGAAUACGUUCCCGGGUCUUGUACACACCGCCCGUCACACCAUGGGAGCGGGUCUCGCCAGAAGUAGUUAGCCUAACCGCAAGGAGGGCGAUUACCACGGCGGGGUUCGUGACUGGGGUGAAGUCGUAACAAGGUAGCCGUAUCGGAAGGUGCGGCUGGAUCACCUCCUU